UGUGACCAGCAGCAGCUCCCUCUCCUCCUGUCUGUGCGCUAUUUACAUGAGAACGUGAAAAAUGAACAGGAGCAACAGGCUGUCAAGUCUAAUAUAUGUCAUUGGUUAAAAUGAAGGUGCCAGAGGAGGAAUUAAUGAGCGACAUUUUGAAGCGGCUGACGGGCGAGUCUGCACUGCCCGCAUACGGCAACAUUGAGAAGUUCAAACGGGGAAAGGACGGCUCAUACUUUGUGGCCGAGGACUUUCAUGAAACUGUGAAAAAGAGAGAACUGGUCAACGCCAAGGAACGACUGAGAAUCAGGAACUUGAACACCAUGUUCUCCCGCUUGAAACGCAUGGUGCCACUAAUGCGACCGGACCGGAAGCCCAGUAAAGUGGACACACUCAAAGCUGCGACAGAAUACAUUCGAUUGCUUGUUGCAGUUUUGCAGGACACAGACAGUGAUGAUGGCAGUGGAACUGAUUUCCUAAAGAAUGCAAUCACUUAUGGCCAGACUGAGGGCUUGGGCAAUGACCUAUGGAGGGUGGAGGAUUUGCUGAACAUGUCAGAGGAGCGUAUGGAAGAUGGAUUCUCCAUGCCCCCAGAACUGGUAACAGAGGACGGAGAUAUGACCCGGCUGAUGUUGCAACAUUGUGUGAUGCCUGCCUACCAGUUCAUCAUCCAAGUAGCACCUGAUCAGACUUUGAUGUCUCAACCCUAAAGCACAUGGCUUGGAUCGACACUGGAAACCUGCCAGGUUGGAUGUGUUUAAUACAUGAAUAUCUAAUCAGUUCAAAUCCAGAUGGCUGAAAUCAUACCAAAAGUUGGGGCCUGUUGAAGAAAGGAUGUUUCUUGAAGAAAAUGCUAUUUUAUUUGUCUUGUUUAAUUUUGCUUUUGAAAUUAAAAUUUUGUUUGAGUAAAUAUGAAUGUGGUUUUAUUUUUUUAUUUUACAAACUGUAUCCUUGACAGCCCUAAAAUAAAAU